rnacentral:rRNA from 1 species
AUUGAACGCUGGCGGCAUGCUUUACACAUGCAAGUCGAACGGUAACAGGGUGCUUGCACCGCUGACGAGUGGCGAACGGGUAAGUAAUGCGUCGGAACGUGCCGAGUAGUGGGGGAUAACGCAGCGAAAGUUGUGCUAAUACCGCAUACGUACUGAGGUAGAAAGUGGGGGACUUUCGGGCCUCACGCUAUUCGAGCGGCCGACGUCUGAUUAGCUAGUAGGUGAGGUAAAGGCUCACCUAGGCGACGAUCAGUAGCGGGUCUGAGAGGAUGAUCCGCCACACUGGGACUGAGACACGGCCCAGACUCCUACGGGAGGCAGCAGUGGGGAAUUUUGGACAAUGGGCGAAAGCCUGAUCCAGCCAUGCCGCGUGUCUGAAGAAGGCCUUCGGGUUGUAAAGGACUUUUGUCAGGGAGGAAAUCCCUAGUGCUAAUAACACUGGGGGAUGACAGUACCUGAAGAAUAAGCACCGGCUAACUACGUGCCAGCAGCCGCAGUAA